rnacentral:misc_RNA from 1 species
UCUUUCUAGGUUAGCGCUGGCAGGAGCCGGAGCUGAUGUAGAGGAACAGAUUAAUAUUUUUUGCAAAGGCGUAAGACCGGGUAAUAAGAUGUGAGAGGAGACAUGCAAGACAUGGAGGAGACAUGCCAGACGUCUAUGUAAAGUUGUAUAAGUAGGGUAACGUUUUCAUUUACGCAUUAUUUGUCUAAGACUUU